rnacentral:tRNA from 1 species
CAAGGAAUAGUUUAUUUAAAAUGUUAAUUUUGGGGAUUAAUGAUGGGAUUUUUUUCUUUUCUUUGA